CACGGGGGGAGCAAGCGUUGUUCGGAAUCACUGGGCGUAAAGGGCGUGUAGGCGGUCAGGUAAGUGAGAUGUGAAAUGCCCCGGCUCACCCGGGGACCGGCAUCUCAUACUGCUUGGCUUGAGUACGGGAGAGGAUGUGGGAAUUCCUGGUGUAGCGGUGAAAUGCGUAGAUAUCGGGAAGAACAUCAGUGGCGAAGGCGGCCUGCUGGGCUGUUGCUGACGCUGAGGCGCGACAGCGUGGGGAGCAAACAGG
rnacentral:rRNA from 1 species